UUUAGAAUGUUCCAUGACCAAAUGAUUGGACGAGGCCCAUCACGUCAGCAAUGACACUUCGCCGCAGUAAAGGGGGGUGCUAGCAACCUGCUUCUUCAUGGUUAAGGCUUGAAGUAAGCCAAUCACCUCCCUUCUUUAGUGCAGUCUCUGGCCAAUGACGUUCGCCCUCUUAGGUUCUUAGCCCGCCUCCAGGAGAGCGACAGUCGUUGGGUCAUAAGUCUAUAGGGCAGGGUGUUCACGUGGCCUAUUUUUACGACCCAGAGUUCCCUGACCAGAGGUUCUUUUUUUUUUUUCUGCGGGAGGCAUUAUGGGUUCCCCCCCUCACGACACACUGGAAAAGGAAGUGUCUACGUGGCCUGCGGAAACAGGAUGGGCGGAAAUGAUCUAAGAUUCCCGCGAGUGGGGAAGCGCGAGGUCAAAUCUGGGGCCACACCCCCGAGCCACUUGCGCAACUCGAGAAAAAAAAGCAGAGUGGGGAUUUUGACAAAGCUCUUUUUGAUUUGACUGUGGGUUCUGAGAGAACAAGAGGUCCUGCUAGUGGAUUGAGGGGCAAGAGGAAGACAAAUCACUGGUUUCUUCAAUAGGAGAGCAAACUGAAGCCUCAACAACUGAAUAAAUAAAUCCCUUUCUCUGGAAAAACAUUGAACACUCACCUCUUCUGGAACAGGGUUGUGGCUGGGUGGGGCCAAAAGAGGCUUCAGAACUCAGGUUUAUGAUAUCCUCUCACCUGCUCAACUAGAUUGACUCCCUACAUAGUUGGAGCUGCUGAGAUCACCCUAGGGGGCUUCCCAGCAGGAGCAAAAUUGAUGACAGACAACCUCUUUCACCAACCAGCCUCUACAAUGUUCGACAGUGAAGGUACUGUAGAUUCCAGGCUGCUGGAAGUGGACUCUUUAGGAGAAGAAAGGAGGAAAGAGAAGCAAAGAAUUGGAUAGGUUGCUCCUAGGAGUUGAUAAGCAGCAGGAGAGAUGCCUAUUCGAGAGUUCCCUGUACCAACAAGAAGCUUUACUCUCUCACGAUGACCUCAGUAUUUUCUGGUCUGAGAAAGGUACAAAGUUGUGUCCAGUCUUUUUUCUUUUUAUUAUCAAUUUAUGGUGUAUAUGAAUCUUCAUG